AGGUUUUGGUGACUGCGCUCCUCCAAGCCAGUUACCUUGGUUCUUCGAGCCGCAAACUCUUUGAACCUAAGAGAAAACCGCCCCGCAAAGGCGGUUUUUUUCU
rnacentral:antisense_RNA from 1 species